rnacentral:rRNA from 1 species
AGCGAACGCUGGCGGCAGGCCUAACACAUGCAAGUCGAACGAACCUUUCGGGGUUAGUGGCGGACGGGUGAGUAACACGUGGGAACGUGCCUUUAGGUUCGGAAUAACUCAGGGAAACUUGUGCUAAUACCGAAUGUGCCCUUCGGGGGAAAGAUUUAUCGCCUUUAGAGCGGCCCGCGUCUGAUUAGCUAGUUGGUUGAGGUAAUGGCUCACCAAGGCGACGAUCAGUAGCUGGUCUGAGAGGAUGAUCAGCCACAUUGGGACUGAGACACGGCCCAAACUCCUACGGGAGGCAGCAGUGGGGAAUCUUGCGCAAUGGGCGAAAGCCUGACGCAGCCAUGCCGCGUGAAUGAUGAAGGUCUUAGGAUUGUAAAAUUCUUUCACCGGGGACGAUAAUGACGGGACCCGGAGAAGAAGCCCCGGCUAACGUCG